GAAAUCAAGGAUGGGUGAAGCCU
rnacentral:miRNA from 1 species